GAUAGUCAUCUUUAGAGUUCGAGUUGCCGUUGGUUAAGUUUCACGAAACUUGAAGCGCUGUCGUCUGAAGGGGCGCGCUCCGACUCCCCGUCGUUUCGCCGUCGUUGCCAUCGUUUCAUUGUUCGAUUCAUUUUGCAUAAGAAGAUGGGCGCUUUCUGGUUCCUUCUUCAUCCGCUCCCUGUUCCUUUAUCGUCUUGUGGCUGUUGCUUCGGUCGGUACGUCCAUCCGUUGUUUCUGUUCCGUUUCUGACAUAAUCUUAGAAGCAUUUAAUGCCCUUCACGAGAAGAGAAGAUGCUUGAGGUUUUGCAUGGUUUCGUUUCGUUGCUUCUCUUUUCACCUUUCAUCUAUGAAUCUCCACCAUCGACCUCGUUCCAUUACUGACGAACAUUUUUUACUGGUGUUUGGUAUUCUAUCUUCCUAGCUUGCAAAUCAAAGGUAUCCUCAAGCUUCAUUUAUUUCUCUUCUCGUAGUUGUCGCUGCUUUUGCUUGCUUGCUUUCUCAAUCAGGUCCAGGUCUUGCUGAACAUUUACAGCACCGUAUCUCCUUUUGUGGUAAGGACAGGGGGGAGUGCAAUUUUCUACUUGAGCUACAAUGGAGCCGAAAGGAUCGAACUGGCUGCCCACUUCAUCCUUACCACCUGGAUCAACCGCCCUUCCGACUUCAUCCUCACCACCUGCGUCGACCACCGUCCCUGCUUCAUCCUCACCACCUGGAUCAACCGCCGUCCCCAGUUCAUCCUCACCACCUGCGUCGGCCGCCGUCCCCGUUUCAUCCUCACAACCUGCGUCGACCGCCGUCCCCGCUUCAUCAUCACCACCUGUUCGCCCCCUACGCCCGCAGCCUCCAUCGGACGGGUUUAGCGGCGUGACGAUGCGCAGGCCUUCCUAUUAUAGUUUCAUGGCUGACCGUCCCUCUAGCCGUCUACUGCUUGGUUGGCGAACUCAGGAUCCCGCAGUCAUACGCUACGAUCCCCGUGCCACUUCUCCGACACCAACUUUUCCUAGUCCCAUGGUUCGCAGCCCUCCGCCUCGGAGGUGUCGUCUUCCGGCGCCACAAGGUUCCUACAUGCCUGUAACUGAGCAUGGGACUCCGGGUUUCAUAACUCCUUCUCCAGACGUAUUAAAAACUCCACGCCAUCACGGUUGUGGCUUGUCGAGCUUUAGUUUAUCUCAUGGCCACCCUUCUGCAUCAGAUAUGUCUACUCCCCAACAAGUGCCAACAAUAAUUUCCCCUUCCGGCACUUCAGCUUCAUCAUCUUCAUCUUACUUCAGAACAGAGGCGCCUUAUGAGCACGUGAGCUACGGCCGGGGUCCAACUCAGGCGACCGAAACAAGGCGCGUCGGCGACAUCACUGACUCCAUUAUUAGCAAAUUCGAUUUCAGGAUCGGUGACACACAGGAAGCUGGUAGCCGCAGCGCCGGCAGAAGUGGCAGACUCAUCUUCCAGGAGGCCCCUAUCGAUCGAGAGUCUGUGGAGAGGACGUUAAUGGUGUACCAUGCUCUAAGACGGAGAUACCUCCAACUGGAAGAGGCUGAGAUCAAAAAGGACGGCGACCGCCGCCAUAAUAGCUUCCACGCCCAUCUUCAGGCCGCCGUAAAGAUGAAGGAUAAGAAGCUUCGACUGACCGAAGAGAAGCGACUGACCGAAGAGAAGCGCAUAGGAACGAUUCCAGGAGUGGAAGUUGGCGACAUGUACUAUUACCGUGCGGAGAUGACCAUGAUUGGACUUCAUUCGCCCGGAGAAGCAGGCAUAGAUUACACGACGAUCAAAUUGAACGGAGUGGAAGACACCGUCGCCAUAAGCAUAGUCACGUUCAGCGGCCAUGAAGGCGACGUCGACGACGGGGAGGUCCUCAUUUACAGAGGCCAUGGCGGUCACAAGAAAGGGAAGAAGACCCCCGACGAUCAGAAGCUAGAGAGAGGAAACCUGGCGCUAGAUCGAAGCAUGAACAGGGGAGUAAAAAUCCGCGUCACCCGCGGAUUCAAAGACCCGACGCACAUGACCAGGAAGGUGUACGUCUACGACGGACUGUACAAGAUCAUGGAAUCAUGGAUGGAGAAAAACAGCGAGGGCUUCAACGUGUAUAAGUGCAAGCUAGUGAGGCUACCAGGGCAGCCUACUCUGGGCAGCCUGAUAUGGAAACUGACGCAGAGAUGGAAGGAGAAUCCAUCUUGCAGAGAUGAAGCAUUAGCUACUGACAUAUCUAUGGGCCGGGAGACGAAUCCGAUCUGCCUCGUCAAUGGCGUGGAUGAUGAGCGCGAGCUGCCACCUUUCGUCUACAUCAGCAAACUGCGGAAUGCCGUCGCCAUCCGCUUAUCCAGGCCGGCCCGUGCUUGCAAAUGUGUGGAAAGAUGCAAGCCCAUGACGGAUGCAUUGUGCAGUUGCUUUCGAGCCAACGGCAACGAGUUUCCAUAUGCCAACAACGGAACUCUGGUUCGCCGGAUGCCGGUGGUUUUCGAGUGCGGAAGCAGCUGUACGUGCGUCUGCGGCUGCCCCAACAGAGUUUCUCAGCAGGGUCUGUAUUUCCAUUUCGAGGUGUUCAGAACGCGGGACAGAGGAUGGGGGCUGCGUAGUUGGGAUCUCAUACCCGCCGGCGCAUUCGUCUGCGAACUUGCAGGUGAAGUAACGACAAGGGAGAAGGUCCUGACAGAUGGGGACGACGAGUAUGUGUUCGAUACUGAACGUGCGACUGCAAGGCCGUUAGAGUGGGAGGGCAUGUAUGAAGUUAUCGGUGAAGCGAGGCCGCAGAGUUCCGGCAUAGAUGUGGGGGCUAUUUCCAUCGUGGCCGACGCUCGGAGAACGGGCAACCUCUCUCGCUUCAUCAACCAUAGUUGUUCGCCGAACGUCUUCUGGCAGCUGGUGGUGUACGACAGGCAUGGCUUGAUCUUUCCCCGCGUCGUCUUCUUCGCGAUGAAGAACAUUCCGCCGCUGACGGAGUUAACUUACGACUAUGGAGUCAGUGGGAAACCGGAGGCCGGCAAAAAAUGCUUGUGCGGCUCAGCAAAUUGCAGAGGCAGGUUCGGGUAGCUGGAGAAAGAGGACCAAUAAUCUAUCAAUUGUAACGGUCGGCUGUCGAAGUUAUCGGAGUCCCUCUUUCCCUCUCUCCCCAAUUGCUUCGGUUUUUCGAAAGAAAUGUACCCAGUCAGGUUCCAGCAUUGGCAAAAAUUAGGGUUUCUUCAACCUCUUCUUUCUUGCUCCUUUUCUUUUCCUCCCCGUCUCCGGGAGCCUCAACAUUUUUUCAUCACGUUCUUGCUCGAGCGGACCGCUCAGAUUGCCUUGGAAUUGUCUGUGCGGAUCUGCUUUCUUGGGGAUCUCGCUCCCUCUCUCUGUAAGCUCUCUCUCUCUGUUGUGCAUGGUUGAUCCCCGGGGGAAUGGAGACAGCAAUCCAUCCACGUGAUUCCUUUCUAUACGGCGACCUUUGCUUUCUAUGAUCGAUCAGUUUGUGGAUUUCAACGAUUGGUUUGCUCUUUCUCACUUUUGCAGGGUUUGUCAGUAAAUCGACGAUCGCCGCUUGUUUUUCCUUUUUCGUCCGGUGCGUUUGAAGAAGAUCUUUGCUUCCACUGUGGCUUGCCAUGGAGUAGUAAACCAUCUCCUGUGGCUUGCAUUUGACACGUCAUAAGUAAUAUUUCAUUGGCACCUGGGAAGCCCGCGCACUUCUAGAGCUCUUUGCUACAGAUGCAAUUGUGCUGCAGAUCAGACUCCAUUCAACUGUCUUAUUGCCCUGAUUUCCCUGCUCCUGUUAUUAUUUCCUACCUGUUACCUUCCUGCUCCUCCCCAUUUGUCCGCAUGUAAUCUAUUUAUGCACAUAUUUACACAAGAAUCAAUUGAAAUUUUCCUUCGUACGGAUUUCACGCACGCCGACACGCCCGUGCUCACAAGAGAGAGAGAGUGAGUUGAUCAAUAUUACUAGUUUUUUUACCCCCUCUUUUGGUCUUCUUUUGAAUGUUUCUAAAACGGUGGAAUCAUGGGAAGUAAAUCAGUACUUUAUGGACAGGGUGCUAAUCUUGUUGAACAGACGUUACAGGGCUGGCUGUUGAGGAAAUGUGGAUGAUCCGUUGGAACUGCAAAAUCGGCUGGAGGGGAGAGGUAAGUGGAACCAGCGAUAAGGCUGUUUCAGGCAUAGUUUCUGACAAGCCCUUGUUAUGGAAGUAUGAUCUCUGCAGAGGCAGAACCUCCAGAAGGUUGUUGUUUGACAUGUCCGACUCAACUUUGCUAUUUCCCGCCCCUUCUGUAAUCCCCACCAAACCUGAACCACUACUCUCCCUGGUCUUGUUGCUGGUGCGCCGGGAACUGGAGCAACAACCA